CUUUAAUUGGCCACACUUGAAUUUAAUGAGCCCAUUCCUGAGGUACAGCCGCAUUGGGGAGCAAGCAGAAACCCAUUCUGGUGUUUUCCCUCUGGGACUCCAAAAGGAUAAAGUCUGGAUUUGUGGCACAUACAGAGGGAUGAUUUGAGCUGGUGUGUCGGCCAAAUUGCAUGUGGACUCCUGAUGACACAGUAGGGGGUUCAGCCAGGUCACUGACAGCCUCAUCGUCACAGUCCAUGGUGUCUGAAAACUCAUCCUGUGAGUUGAAAGAACAAGAGCGGAAGCGGGC